rnacentral:rRNA from 1 species
GAGCGAACGCUGGCGGCAUGCUUACCCCAUGCAAGUCGAGCGCGCCCUUCGGGGUGAGCGGCGGACGGGUGAGUAACGCGUGGGAACGUGCCCUUUUCUACGGAAUAGCCUCGGGAAACUGAGAGUAAUACCGUAUACGCCCUUUGGGGGAAAGAUUUAUCGGAAAAGGAUCGGCCCGCGUUGGAUUAGGUAGUUGGUGGGGUAAUGGCCUACCAAGCCGACGAUCCAUAGCUGGUUUGAGAGGAUGAUCAGCCACACUGGGACUGAGACACGGCCCAGACUCCUACGGGAGGCAGCAGUGGGGAAUCUUAGACAAUGGGGGCAACCCUGAUCUAGCCAUGCCGCGUGAGUGAUGAAGGCCUUAGGGUUGUGAAGCUCUUUCAGCUGGGAAGAUAAUGACGGUACCAGCAGAAGAAGCCCCGGCUAACUCCGUG